rnacentral:lncRNA from 1 species
GAACGUUAUUCUGCUAACCACAGGAGCGUGUUCCGUUUUCUUCUAAUCAUUUUUAGGUCUACACUGGGAGCCAAAGGACCUGCUGUGACCAGGGUCUGCCCGCACAUCCGGCUGCAGAGCAGUUGCCCACUCCUUGGCUCUGGAGACCAUCUCAUUAGACCAGUAGCCCCACAUCGUGGGAUCACUAUGUUUAAUUGACUGCUAGUCUGAGAGGCUAAGAGUCCCACACAUCUCAUGGCCACACAGGUCCAGAAAUUCUUAUCUGGAUAACCAACCUCAUCUCUACUUUCUCGGAAGAGAAGAAAGGCCUGAGUCACUUGCAAUUUUUGAGGCUUUUAGUAUAUUAAAUAAAUGCUAAAAGAAUGAAAAAGCAAGACACAGACCAAGACAAAAUAUUUGCAAAACACAUGUGUGAUAGAGGACUUGUGUCCAAAAUAUACAAAAAACUCUUAAAACUCAAAAUAAGAAAACAAGCAACUCAAAAAACGGGCAAAAGAUUUGAACAGACACCUCAUCAAAGAAGAUAUACAUGGCAGACACUCGUAUGAAAAGAUGCUUAACAUCAUAUGUCAUUAGGAAAUCCCAAAUUGAAACAAGAUAUACCACUACGCACCUAUUAGAAUAGCUAAGAUCCAAAACACUGG